rnacentral:tRNA from 1 species
GCAUCCUUAGCUCAGUGGAUAGAGCAGUAGCCUUCUAAGCUAUUGGUCACUGGUUCGAAUCCAGUAGGAUGUA